AGUAAAAUAAUUAUAUAUAAACGUUUUAAUUAAAUUAUAAAGAAACAUCUGUUAAUAUAGUAAAGGAGAUUGAAGUUUUAUAUACAUUAUAUAAUUAUUAGUACUGUGAAGGAAAUAUUUUAUUUUUGAUAUAGUAAUGCUUAAUUCAUAUACCUUUUGUAUCAUGGUUUAGCUAGAUUUAUUUUUAUAAUAUAAAUUUCUCGAAAUCUAAUGAGCUACUUUAAUUUAUUUAUUUUAGUAUAUUAAGACUAGUUGUAGCAAAAACUUUCUUAAAAAUUAAGGUAGAAAUGAAAUUUUAUCCGUAUUAGAUGAUAGCUAGUUUUUUUCUAAAGAUAUAGAAGUAUCUAAAUUUUUUUCUAUAAAUUUAAAAAUCUUUAAAUUUAUUUUAUGAAUUUUUACAGACUUUUAGGGAUAAGCUUAAAAGUUUAAUAAAAUUAAUACAUAAUUACUUUUUUAAAAUUUAGGCUUGAAACUAGCCAAAAUACUAAAAUUUGUUAUAAUUUAUUUACAUUAAAUAAAGAUAAGAUAAAUAUGUAAUAUAAUUUAGAAAAAAGUUGUUAAAAAUCAAAUUAACAAGUAUCAAUGCUGAAAUGAGUAUUUAUUUAUAAUAAUUUUUAAUAACCAUAAAAUAUUAAAAUUUCAAAUAUUAUUAAAAUAAUUAAUUUUUGUAAAGGAACUCGGCAAAUUUUUACUCUGCCUGUUUAUCAAAAACAUGGCUCCUUGAAAUUUAAAAUAUGGGGAGUCGGACCUGCCCAGUGAUAUUUAUUUAACGGCCGCGGUACCCUGACCGUGCAAAGGUAGCAUAAUCAUUUGCCCUAUAAUUGAGGGCUAGUAUGAAUGGUUUGACAAGAGUAAUACUGUCUCUACAAAAAUUUAUAGAACUUAUUUUUUAGGUGAAGAAUCCUAAAUUAAAUUAAAAGACAAGAAGACCCUAUCGAGCUUUAAAUUAAUAUAUAAAAUAAAAAAAAUUAAAAAUAUUUUUAAUUAUAAAAAAUUUUGGUUGGGGCGACUAAGGAACAAAAAAAACUUCUUAAAAAAAAUAAAAUUUAUAAAUAAUGAUCCAUUAUUUUAAUGAUUAAAAGAAUUAGUUACCGUAGGGAUAACAGCAUAAUCCAUUUUGAGAGUUCAUAUCGAAAAAAGGGUUUGUGACCUCGAUGUUGGACUAGAAUAUCCUACAAGAUGCAGAAGUCUUUAAAGGUUGGUCUGUUCGACCAUUAAAAUUCUACAUGAUCUGAGUUCAGACCGGCGUGAGCCAGGUCAGUUUCUAUCUUUAAUUUUAUUAUUUAAAUUUAGUACGAAAGGACCAAUUUAAAAUAAAAUUUAUUAUAUAUAGAUGACUUAUAAUUAUGAAAUAAAUAUUUAAACACUA
rnacentral:rRNA from 1 species